ensembl:lncRNA
AUGAUAACAAGGGACAAGAGACACACAUGGCCUAAAUACACUGGGGAGGUGCAGGUGAUUGGACACAGGUGGAAACAAUCAGAGACACGGCAGACAAUCACAGGGGACGACCGGACAAGGCGGGAAGUGAAGUUACCCAGGGAGACAACAGGAAACUACAAAAUAAAACAGGAAACAAACCCAAACCGUGACACCGUCUGGAAGGAAAAGGAAGUUCUGGUGCUGGGUCUUUUUCUCAGUAUUAGAGGUGUAAAGAAUGUAUUCAAGUUACAAGUACACAUACAUUUAAAGACAGGUGGGCAUAAGCUGACAGACAGGUGGGUAUAAGCUGACAGACAGGUGGGUAGGCAGGUUCGUAUAAAGAAGAGUUCAGUUCUGUGGAAUCGAGGCAAGACACAACAUGCCAAUCUGGCAGGGAAUGAUUGCGGGAUGGUCUUUUUAUAUAAUACAGAGCAGAUGAGGGAAUCAGGUUUAUUGUGAAAAAAUGUAAGUCCAACAUCAUGAUAAAAGAACCACAACACUUAAUCAAUGGAGUAUUUUCUUUUCUUAGUUAAUUGUUACAAAUCAAAGAAACAAGGAAAAGCUAAUGUCUCAAUUAUCUUAAUUACAUCUUAAUUACUCAUAAAAGUUUCCCUAUAUGUAUUCUGGCUUUCUGAAAAUUGGACUGUAUUUGCCUUUUGACAUGAUAUUAACCAUAAAACUGAGACAAAAUCGAGACAUAAUUUGGUCAAUUGGUAAAUGUUUUUCAUGGUUUGGUUUUUCUGUUUAGGUAUCAUGUAUAUGAUUCUUCCACAUUUUAUCUUAACUAAUUCUAUCUUGACAGUAUGGGGAAGAUGCAUUUGUGCCAUGAGACAUCAUUUCAAGGAUCCUUGUCUGUGUUGUGGUGCUUGUCUGUGGCACCUUGUGUCUUUAAAACUGGGUAAAUGAUGUCCUCGCCGCUCUGUGUAUUCCCAGUAUCAACACAGAUUGCCCAAAUGCAUCUGCACAGGAUACACGGCAAUGAACUAAUCGGGAACUGAGUUUGCGUUACAGUGUUGUGUCUGGCUACCAAUCACAUUUAUCCAUAUGAUUCACCAGGCAAUUAGAUUAUACACUAAAUGUUCUUUCCCUCUGGAUGAUGAAUGUGAGUGGAUUAGCAUCUGCAUUUGGCUGGAUUAAGACGUCAAUCACAAGUCUACAGUUGUGGUUAAAAAAAAAGGUUCCCUUUUAUCAGGAUGAAGUUCUCCCUAUACAAACUGUACAGAACAAUUUAGGGGUAAUAGGCUUAAAAAGUAGUUUGUUUUUCUAAAAUCCCUUUAUUUUCAAAUGCUUAUUAAAAAAAUAUGUAUCAAUCUUUUGGACCAAAUUCCUGCGAAACAUGUUUCCCACUGUGUGUAAAGAGAGAUCCAGACAUGCAGGAUCAAUAUCUGACCAUCUUGCUUUUCAUUCGCUGCCCUGAUUUUAUAUCCAAGCAAAGAAAAAGCAUGAUGUCACUUUCUUCUUUCUAUAUCUGACCAAUGUCCUCUGUACAUAGAGAAAAUAUGCUCCUCCAAUGUCCUGCGCCUGUUUCUGUUAUCCAUUAUAUCAACAAUAGUAAUAUCAUAACCUCUGUAAUCUGUAAAGUGUUUAUACAUGGAGGAAGCUAAAUAUUAGCUGUGAUUAUAUAUUGUAUUUAACAAGGGAUUUGAUAUGGUAAUGCAUGCAAUGAUGUGAGUAAAAUCUCUUUGUAAUCUGGUUAGCCGCAUGUUGGAAGAAAGGGCAUCAUUUCAACAAGCCGUAUCACCGGUGGAAGUGGAACACGAUGUGCAAUUUGCAAAAGCCAACUAACAAGGGCUUUAAACCAAAGUGUCAGGUAGUCUGUGCUGCCUCAUCUGAACGAAGCUAUGAUGUAUUAGCUGGAUUAGCAGCGGCCUGCACCCACCACAGGACGGGUGAAAAGAAACAAUCUCAUGAAAGUACCAUUGUUCAAGGGCCUUAAUAAACCAGAAAAUGGUCUGAUAAUGUCCCCUUUGAACCCGUAGCCGCUCUUUAGGCAGUUCUUAGGCACAUCGAUGCUUUUAGGUCAAUGCAUAUGAUCCCGAUGGUAACGCUAGCACAAAUGUCAUGGAUAUCGCUGGGUUCUUAGAAAUUUCCGCUUGGACCGAAAUGUGCGGACUGACAUGGUCAGCCACACAGCACAAUAUACACAAACAUGUGUGAGUGGAUUAUUAUUUCAUGUAAAACCAGAUAUGUCAGUGCUCAGUCGUGCUUGUAUGUGCAUAUGCAAACAACAGAAAUCCACACUGACCAAGUCAUCAUGAUGUAGUUCUAUUAAUCAUGACGACAGGCCGACCCGGUCACUGACAAACACUUGUCACUUUCACUUACACACAGUAUGUGUAUCUGUUGGCUGGUGCACUUUAUUUUUAACUUUAUUAUUAAUUUAAAUUUCUUGUUAUUUGUUAUUUUGAAAUUGUGUAUUCUACAUCCCUCUAUAUCAGGGGUAUUCAACUAAAAUGUGAAGGGUUAGUAACCCUCUGCUCUGGCCCAUAGCCUUAUAUUUUAUCUUAUAUGGUAAAGUCAAAUUGUAAAUAAUUGUAAAUGCCAUUUCCUUGCACUAUGUUGUCGUAUCUGUCUUGUUGUCCAUCGUUUUGUCUGAUGUUACGCACCAACCGCCAAGUCUAAUUCCUUUUAUGUCUAACAUAUUUUGGUAAUAAAUCUUUCCUGAUUCCUAAUCCCUGAAAAAAGGAUCGGCAGUUGUGAGUGUUGCUAAACAUUUCAUUUAUUAAGGGUCUUCCUUCGAUAAGAACUAAAAUUGCCAUAUUGGGGGGGAUUACUCCGAUUUGGCAACCCCAAAGCUUUGUCCCUAAUGGCUUAUAACUGAUCUUUAAAGCAGUAGAACACUAUCUAUUAAAACCGCCUCCUGACUCUCCUUUCCUCAUAACAUUAAAGUGUGGUUAUUAAAACAUCUCUAGUCUGUAUUUAUUGUCAAAAUGUAUGUUCAAACCAGCCAACAAAAGCCUCGGGUGGACACAUUAAGUGAGGUGACUCCCUUUCUGAGGCCUUUUUAUAGGCCAGAUCGCUACCGGAGUCGGGCCGAGUGGAGUGCGUUGAAGUGUGUCCGCUCAGCGCUCCUCCACCUCGGUUACGAUUACAACCACAUUACGUUGUUAGAGCAGCCUUCCCUUCUUGUCUCGAGGCGCUUGACACCUCCAGAAGAUUAGAAGUGGUCACGAAAACACCCGCUGAACAGGAAUUGGCAGGAAGAGAACUCCGCUGAGGCCGAGCACUUUCAUAAGUUCUGUUUGUGUUUUUGUGUAAUGUAAUGUGUUCUGGAGAACCUCAUUUGAGAACAAAUAUUAGAGGAGAGAGAGCAGAGUUUGAUGUUCCAAGCUCUAAAUUGUUCUUUAAUAUCAGCUGCGGUAUUCAAUAUCUCAAAGAUAUUAAAAGGGCCCUGGGUCAUUGACACAGACGGGCCUUGUUUACCGCUCCUUAUUGGGCUGUUCUCUGGAGUCCCGACUUGCAUUAAAAGUGUGGAUCGUGACGUUUUCUUAGAUGAGAUGUUCGUGUGCUGUCGAUGUAAAGCUGUUUAACAACGUACGUAACUUGAUAACCGACUGCAUCCAGGAGAGCCAGAAGGUCCUGGUGGUUCUGAGCUAGGAGUUUGUGAGGAGCCGCUGGCUUUGUUCAGAGACUGCCUAUCGUCCCGGUGGUCCUGGAGCAGGGAGUCCCUAUUCCUCUCCACCUCUGCCACCUCACCUACCUGGAGGCCAACGCCCCAGACUUUGAGAACAAGUUGCUCAAGGUGCUCUGCACAGCUUCAAGGCUCCACUGUCAGGAAUCAGGAAUCAGGAAUCAGGAAACAUUUAUUAGCCAAAAUAUGUCAAACAUACAAGGAAUUUGUCUUGGCGGUUAGUGCGCGACAGUAGACAGACAAGACAACAGUGCACAAGUAAUAAAAUAAAGUGGAAUGAAAUGCUAAUGCAAUGGGUUAGUAGAAUAAGGCUAUGGGUUAGUAUAAAACAAGGGAAUAAAGUUUAAAAAAUUUAAAUAUUAAAAAGUUAAAAAGAAAAAUAUUAAGCAUAAAGUGCACUAACGAACAAGUAACAGACAAGAGACAAAGUGACAAAGUGAUGAAUUGCAGUUAAAGUGGCGUGUGCAGUAUGAGCGGGAGUGACCGGUGGAGUGUUAUAGUCAGUCAGUGGGGGACCGGCUCUGUUGAUGAGCCCGACUGCCGACGGGAAGAAACUGUUGGUGUGGCGGGAGGUCUUAGUCCUGAUGGACCUCAGCCUCCUGCCAGAUGGAAGGGGCACAAACAGGUUUUGUCCGGGGUGAGAGGGGUCGGC